rnacentral:rRNA from 1 species
AUUGAACGCUGGCGGCAUGCCUUACACAUGCAAGUCGAACGGUAACAGGUCUUCGGAUGCUGACGAGUGGCGAACGGGUGAGUAAUACAUCGGAACGUGCCCGAUCGUGGGGGAUAACGAAGCGAAAGCUUUGCUAAUACCGCAUACGAUCUACGGAUGAAAGCAGGGAACCGAAAGGCCUUGCGCGAACGGAGCGGCGGAUGGCAGAUUAGGUAGUUGGUGGGAUAAAAGCUUACCAAGCCGACGAUCUGUAGCUGGUCUGAGAGGACGACCAGCCACACUGGGACUGAGACACGGCCCAGACUCCUACGGGAGGCAGCAGUGGGGAAUUUUGGACAAUGGGCGAAAGCCUGAUCCAGUCAUGCCGCGUGCAGGAUGAAGGCCUUCGGGUUGUAAACUGCUUUUGUACGGAACGAAAAGACUCUGGUUAAUACCUGGGGUCCAUGACGGCACCGUAAGAAUAAGCACCGGCUAACUACGUGCCAGCCGCCGCCGUAAGAC